rnacentral:tRNA from 1 species
GGGGGUAUAGCUCAGUUGGCUAGAGCGCCUGCUUUGCAAGCAGGAAGUCGUCGGUUCGACUCCGACUAUCUCCA